rnacentral:rRNA from 1 species
CACGGGUGAGUAACACGUAGGUAAUGGUGCCUUUGGGUGGGGAAGUAACUUAGGGAAACUUAAGCUAAUACCGCAUAAUGCAGCGGCUCCUAAUGGAGACAGUUGUUAAAGAUUUAUCGCCUAAAGAGCAGCCUGCGGCAGAUUAGCUAGUUGGUAAGGUAAUGGCUUACCAAGGCUACGAUCUGUAUCCGACCUGAGAGGGUGGUCGGACACACUGACACUGAAUAACGGGUCAG